rnacentral:rRNA from 1 species
UACGUAGGGUGCGAGCGUUGUCCGGAAUCAUUGGGCGUAAAGCGCGUGUAGGCGGUCCGGUAAGUCCGCUGUGAAAGUCGGGGGCUCAACCCUCGGAUGCCGGUGGAUACUGUCGGGCUUGAGUACGGAAGAGGCGAGUGGAAUUCCUGGUGUAGCGGUGAAAUGCGCAGAUAUCAGGAGGAACACCAAAUGCGAAGGCAGCUCGCUGGGACGUUACUGACGCUGAGACGCGAAAGCGUGGGGAGCAAACAGG